rnacentral:rRNA from 1 species
GCAUAUCAAUAAGCGGAGGAAAAGAACCCAACAGGGAUUGCCUCAGUAACGGCGAGUGAAGCGGCAACAGCUCAAAUUUGAAAUCUGGCCGCAAGGUCCGAGUUGUAAUUUGUAGAGGAUGCUUUUGGCGAGGUGCCUUCCGAGUUCCCUGGAACGGGACGCCAUAGAGGGUGAGAGCCCCGUACGGUAGGACCACCAAGCCUCUGUAAAGCUCCUUCGACGAGUCGAGUAGUUUGGGAAUGCUGCUCUAAAUGGGAGGUGUACGUCUUCUAAAGCUAAAUACCGGCCAGAGACCGAUAGCGCACAAGUAGAGUGAUCGAAAGAUGAAAAGCACUUUGAAAAGAGGGUUAAAAAGUACGUGAAAUUGUUGAAAGGGAAGCAUUCAUGACCAGACUUGGGCUUGGUUGAACAUCCGGCGUUCUCGCCGGUGCACUCUGCCAGUCCAGGCCAGCAUCAGUUUGCCCCGGGGGAUAAAGGCGGCGGGAAUGUGGCUCCCUUCGGGGAGUGUUAUAGCCCGUCGUGUAAUGCCCUGGGGCGGACUGAGGAACGCGCUUCGGCACGGAUGCUGGCGUAAUGGUCAUCAAUGACCCGUCUUGAAACACGGACCAAGGAGUCGUCUUCGUAUGCGAGUGUUCGGGUGUCAAACCCCUACGCGUAAUGAAAGUGAACGUAGGUGAGAGCUUCGGCGCAUCACCGACCGAUCCUGAUGUUCUCGGAUGGAUUUGAGUAAGAGCAUACGGGGCCGGACCCGAAAGAAGGUGAACUAUGCCUGUAUAGGGUGAAGCCAGAGGAAACUCUGGUGGAGGCUCGCAGCGGUUCUGACGUGCAAAUCGAUCGUCAAAUAUGGGCAUGGGGGCGAAAGACUAAUCKAACCUUCUAGUAGCUGGUUU